UCUGUAAUUGAGGCACAACAUAGGCAGGAGUGAAGAAGAUGGCAGAUGUUCAUUUCUUAAGAUUUUCCUUUUUUGCAAAUACCUCACUUGGACACUACAAAUCGGGACACGUUGGUGAGGGGCUGGCUGCUGCUUUUUAUUCACACUUGUUCAGGGAGAGCACAGAAAAUACCCUUCAGCUUGGCCACCCUGGAUACAAGAGGAGGAAAAACGGAAGUUUCCUCUAGGAAAAGGAUGACUUGCUGGAGUCCAGGAUGUGAAGAACUCUUGGUGGCUGGCUGGCUGGCCAGUGGGCACCCCAUCUGCACUAGAGUGCCUCGGACUUGCUUGUUAACAAUGCACAGAAGAAGCGUCACUUCUCACCGUCUCCUGGCAUGUAUGGAGCAGGGAGCAAGGCGGAGUGCCAGGAAGCCCUGACGUGCUUGCAGAUGGGCUGUACACUCGACCUUGAACUGUAGUUUGUAAGACCUCAGUCAGUCCUAGUACACUGGGGCAAAUCAGUGUCGUGGUGGAGGAAAAGCCGGGAGGCCUAUUUUUAUAGGAAAACAGUACCUUUGAGGGUUUAAUGCUGCCGUUUUGGACAAAAGGAAAGAAAUAUAGAAGAAUUAGGAUUGUUGGAAAAAACUUGCUGAGCGGUGAAUCUUUAAGAGGUAAUUACUGCAGAAUCCGAGUUGCAGCAAUACUUAUUGCAAGCAGGUCUGAAUGCAUAGUUUUAAUUCGGCUUGACAAUUUGAACACGUUAACCCCUUGGGACUGACUGAAUCAUUAUGCAUGUGUCAAUCAAUGGGAGGUGUGCAUUCUCUAGAAGUAGGUGUAGGCUGUUUGGUUUUUUUUUUAAUGCAGCCUGUUCAGGCACUGUCAUGUGGUGUGAAAGAUUUAAAUGUAGCAAUGCUAAAGAGUUAACAAUUUUGGGAUAAGGCACGGGGACAUUAAAAGAGUGGUGAAAAUCCAAAUGUUGAACCAAUUGUGUUCUGUCGUCGUCGUUAGCUGUAGAGUGAACUAGCUGCCCAGCUGUCUGGGCAGGCAGGACAUACUCAUUCUUACUGUAAAUUCUAUUUGCUGCUUCCAAAGGUGAUGAUGUACAAGCAGACAUAUUCUAUAUGGUCUGUAUUUUAGGAUCUGGUGCCCUGCCUAUAUCAGAGCUUACCUACCUGGCUCAGCUACCUACCCUUCCUGUGGGAAAAGGUAAUCCACUGUUUAACCAGGCUCACCCUCUCUGCCCUGCCCUAGCAACCCUUUGUGGAUGUGCUGUAAGAUUUUCUUGCUCAAUAGCAAGGUGGUAGCUCUGCUUUCAUUUUAAGAAAGUGGAGGCCGAGGGCAUUGUAUCAAUACUGCUUCAACUCCAAGGAUUUUUCCUUGUAAAAUUAAAGGGAAGAGCUUGUUAUCGAUUAACCAUUUUCUUACCCCUUGCUAUUGACAUAUUCAUGCUCUUUCUAUGUCUAGUAGCUGAAAAAUGUUUGCAUUUGUUCAUUUGACUAAUGGUGUCAUUUUUGUUUCUAUAUUGUUAGGCCUGUAAUGUUCUAAAAUGUAUUUUAUUAAAUUUGGACUGGAUGUACGUCUCUAGCAAUACGAGGUACUUUCUAAACUAUUAAGGGAGGGGUGGUAUCCCCGAGUUGAGAUAAGAUGAUGGUUGUUUAAAUUUUGCAAUUUUUUUUGGCCUGCAGGGAUAUUUUGUGUUCAUGUGUCCAUAAAAGAAUAAAUUGGCAUUCUUGUGCC
ensembl:lncRNA